rnacentral:tRNA from 1 species
GGAGGAGUCCCAUAGAGGCUUAUUGGAGCUUUUUUGAAAAAAGCCGCUAUUCACGUAGCACGCGAGUUCGAAUCCCGCCUCCUCCG